GCAGAGGUAGCGAAGUGGACAAACGCACCAGGUUCAGGACCUGGUCCCAUUAGGGGUUCGGGGGUUCGAAUCCCUCCCUCUGCA
rnacentral:tRNA from 1 species